UUACAAAAAUAUGAAGCCAUUUGGAAAAGCUAGCAACCACAUGGAUGGAGGGAAACAAUUAAAAAUAUAAGAGUAUUGAAGAAACGUCAGAAGGCUCAGUGUGGUGGAAAUCUUAGAACUGAAUUUGCACAUGGGACCCCUGACCAUGUUCCUGAGAGGCAAGAGGGA
rnacentral:lncRNA from 1 species